CCUACGGGUGGCAGCAGUGAGGAAUAUUGGUCAAUGGCCGAGAGUCUGAACCAGCCAAGUAGCGUGAAGGAUGACUGCCCUCUGGGUUGUAAACUUCUUUUAUAAGGGAAUAACACGAGGCACGUGUGCCUUUUGCAUGUACUUUAUGAAUAAGGAUCGGCUACAUCCGUGCCAGAAGCCGCGGUAAUACGGAGGGUCCGAGCGUUAUCCGGAUUUAUUGGGUUUAAAGGGAGCGUAGAUGGGUUGUUAAGUCAGUUGUGAAAGUUUGCGGCUCAACCGUAGAAUUGCAAUUGAUACUGGCAGUCGUGAGUACAGUUGAGGUAGGCGGAAUUCGUGGUGUAGCGGUGAAAUGCUUAGAUAUCAGGAAGAACCCCGAUUGCGAAGGCAGCUUACUAAACUGUGACUGACAUUGAGGCUCGAAAGUGUGGGUAUCAAACAGGAUUAGAUACCCGAGUAGUC
rnacentral:rRNA from 1 species